rnacentral:rRNA from 1 species
AUGGAACUGCCGGGGGGGAACCGCCGGACAGUUCGUGAGGUUUUGGCCCUCUCAAAAGCCAAUAACCCCAAGCUAGUCUUUCUCUGUGAGACUAGGCAAGAAGCAGCUAAAGUGGAGAAGUUGAAGUGGAGAUUAGGCCUAAAAGGCUUUCAUGGUGUUAGCAGUGAUGGACGAAGUGGUGGUCUUGCUUUUCUCUGGGAGGAGACGCUG